rnacentral:snRNA from 1 species
GUGCAAGCUUCAGUAGCACAUAUACUAAAAUUAGAACAAUACAAAGAUUAGCAUGGUGCAUGGAUAAAGAUGACAGGCAAAUUUAUGAAGCGUCCCAUAGAAAA